UAGGGAAUCUUCGGCAAUGGACGGAAGUCUGACCGAGCAACGCCGCGUGAGUGAAGAAGGUUUUCGGAUCGUAAAGCUCUGUUGUAAGAGAAGAACGAGUAUGAGAGUGGAAAGUUCACACUGUGACGGUAUCUUACCAGAAAGGGACGGCUAACUACGUGCCAGCAGCCGCGGUAAUACGUAGGUCCCGAGCGUUGUCCGGAUUUAUUGGGCGUAAAGCGAGCGCAGGCGGUUAGAUAAGUCUGAAGUUAAAGGCUGUGGCUUAACCAUAGUAGGCUUUGGAAGCUGUUUAACUUGAGUGCAAGAGGGGAGAGUGGAAUUCCAUGUGUAGCGGUGAAAUGCGUAGAUAUAUGGAGGAACACCGGUGGCGAAAGCGGCUCUCUGGCUUGUAACUGACGCUGAGGCUCGAAAGCGUGGGGAGCAAACAGGAUUAGAUACCCUGGUAGUCCACGCUGUAAACGAUGAGUGCUAGGUGUUAGACCCUUUCCGGGGUUUAGUGCCGUAGCUAACGCAUUAAGCACUCCGCCUGGGGAGUACGACCGCAAGGUUG
rnacentral:rRNA from 1 species